AAGUAAUGCAGUUUCUUUGCUAUUAUUUUCUUAUUUGUAUUAUUUUAUAAUUUGAAUAUUCUUUUUUCUCUAUCUUUUUUAUCUGCUUUUUCUCUGGUUUUCUUUAUGUUUUUUUUCUGUUAUAAAAAGUACAGACAGCUUCUCAAUAAACUGAGAGAAUAUUGUGGUGAUUCUUUCAAAGAAUCAUACUAUAGCUUUAUUAUAAAUGAUUAUAUAUUGAGUCAGAAGUAGAUGGGCAGCUCAAUAAGCUGAGUUUUCUCAAGAGUUGUCAUCUGAAUUCUGUUUCUCUCUAUCUAUGUAUAUAGAAAUCCCUCCAGCAUAGCACAUCCCAUGCUCUUUGGAAGGCUUCUGAAACACAGGCUCUGCCCAUGUUUCUCUGAGACACUAAAUCGAUACAUACAUACAUACAUACAGACUGUGGCUCUAUAGCAUAACCUAGGACUGGGCGGUACUGCUGUUGGUUCUGUGUAUAAACGUGCGGACGAGUUGGCGAAUGGUCCGUUGACGAAUAGCGAGAUCGUCGGAUUUUCAGGGGUGAGUUCUAACCCUGCAACAGAAGUCAGGCAGGUCACCAUUGAACAUAUUUUAAGCAAGAAGCAUAAUAACCAAUGGGCUCUUGUGGGUGGCCGUGGUGGAGACUUGGAAUCCCCUUUUCUUGCUAGAAUUUGAAAAGAUAUACCUUUUUUUUGUCUACUGAUAGUAUACAUGUUUUUUUCUG
rnacentral:sRNA from 2 species